UACGUAGGGUGCGAGCGUUAAUCGGAAUUACUGGGCGUAAAGCGUGCGCAGGCGGUCUGUUAAGACCGAUGUGAAAUCCCCGGGCUUAACCUGGGAACUGCAAUGGAAACUGGCGGGCUUGAGUGUGGCAGAGGGGGGUGGAAUUCCGCGUGUAGCAGUGAAAUGCGUAGAGAUGCGGAGGAACACCGAUGGCGAAGGCAGCCCCCUGGGCCAACACUGACGCUCAGGCACGAAAGCGUGGGGAGCAAACAGG
rnacentral:rRNA from 1 species